UUUAUACGACGGAACCCGCUAUUGAGUGUGCGUAGUCUGACAGCCGCUUGGCCGUCAUUUUAAAAUAAAUAUUAUUUUCAUGCAAACUGGCUAAGAACCAGUUUGCAUAAAAUUAUCCUAAAAGCGCUAGACAGAAGUUAUGUACAUAAGUAAUUAAAAUUCAGAAUUAGCUUUAAAUGUCGUCACCACCAGUCCUACUCGAGAUCGCCAACAUUUCGCAGGAUUUUGGGUAGUAAUAAUUUUGGAUCAAACGAGCCCGAAGAUGAAGGUGCUCGGCAUAUUGGCUGUAUGCCUGCUGUCCCUGUUCGUCAUGGCCCCACUGGUCAAAACCGAAAAAGACAGAAACUUCACCGUGAACGCAGCUAAAUGUCCCGAGGGCCAAGCAUGGAUGAUCAACAAGUGUGUAUAUUGGCACACACUUUUCCGUUAAGCGCUUGAUAC